rnacentral:rRNA from 1 species
CACGUAGGGGGCGAGCGUUGUCCGGAUUUAUUGGGCGUAAAGAGCUCGUAGGCGGCUCGGUAAGUCGGGUGUGAAACCUCCAGGCUCAACCUGGAGACGCCACCCGAUACUACCGUGGCUAGAGUCCGGUAGAGGAGCGUAGAAUUCCUGGUGUAGCGGUGAAAUGCGCAGAUAUCAGGAGGAAUACCAGCGGCGAAGGCGGCGCUCUGGGCCGGUACUGACGCUGAGGAGCGAAAGCGUGGGGAGCAAACAGG